GACGAACGCUGGCGGCGUGCCUAACACAUGCAAGUCGAGCGGAGUCAGUAAGAGGAAGUUUUCGGAUGGAAUCUUGCUGGUUUAGCGGCGGACGGGUGAGUAACGCGUGAGCGACCAACCUUGCCCAGGGGGAUAACGGACCGAAAGGUUCACUAAUACCGCAUGAGACCACGGUGCUGCAUGAUACAGGGGUCAAAGGAGCAAUCCGGUGCAAGACGGGCUCGCGUCCGAUUAGGUAGUUGGAGGGGUAACGGCCCACCAAGCCUAUGAUCGGUAGCCGACCUGAGAGGGUGAUCGGCCACAUUGGAACUGAGAUACGGUCCAAACUCCUACGGGAGGCAGCAGUGGGGAAUAUUGGGCAAUGGGGGAAACCCUGACCCAGCAACGCCGCGUGAAGGAAGAAGGUUCUCGGAUUGUAAACUUCUGUCCUUGGUGAAGAGAAGAAGACGGUAGCCAAGGAGGAAGCCCCGGCUAACUACGUGCCAGCCGCCGCGGUAA
rnacentral:rRNA from 1 species